rnacentral:rRNA from 1 species
UACGGAGGGUGCGAGCGUUGUUCGGAAUUACUGGGCGUAAAGGGCUCGUAGGCGGCCAACUAAGUCAGACGUGAAAUCCCUCGGCUUAACCGGGGAACUGCGUCUGAUACUGGAUGGCUUGAGUUUGGGAGAGGGAUGCGGAAUUCCAGGUGUAGCGGUGAAAUGCGUAGAUAUCUGGAGGAACACCGGUGGCGAAGGCGGCAUCCUGGGCCAACACUGACGCUGAGUGAGCGAAAGCCAGGGGAGCAAACGGG